rnacentral:rRNA from 1 species
GGUUGCACCUUACGAAGAGAUAGGAUUGUUGCCUUCGGGACUCAUAGACAGGUGCUGCAUGGCUGUCGUAGCUCGUGUGGUGAGAUGUUGGGUUAAGUCCCGCAACGAGCGCAACCCUUGUCCUUAUUUGCCAGCGCGUCAUGUCGGGAACUCUAAGGAGACUGCCGGUGACAAACCGGAGGAUCGUGGGGACGACGUCAAGUCAUCAUGCCCCUUACGAGUAGGGCUACACACGUGCUACAAUGGCCUGUCCAGAGCGUUGCAAACCGGAGAGGUGGAGCUAAUCCCAAAAAGCCGGUCUCAGUCCGGAUCGGAGUCUGCAACUCGACUCCAUGAAGUCGGAAUCGCUAGUAAUCGCGAAUCAGAAUGCCGCGGUGAAUACGUUCCCGGGCCUUGUACACACCAGAUUUUUC